GUAUGACUUAUAAAAGGAACAUAUUACAACAGAGUGAUCCUAACCUACUUCUGUGUCCAUCUCGUUACUGCAAGGGUUAAGAUCAUUCUCUCGGUACCGAAAGGGGUCAUCGAACCAAGGAAAACACCCACCCUUUUAUACCAGGAGAUGUUGUAGUUAUAAAACAAUUGGCCAAAGAUAAAAGAGACAAAGACUUCGCUUAUGGUCCAGAGACGAAUGUGGUAGCCGUUACCCGGACCGCAAUACUGACGGAAGAGAGCCCAACAUGGAUCCAUGCCACCCGAGUAAAACUGGUGCCUAGAGCCAGACAAAGAGAGGUACUAACGGGGGCAGACAGCCCUGGCCUCCGACUAGAAGCAAGUACAAGUGAGGUAGCAACGAGGGCGGACAGCCCUGACCUCCGACAAGAUGACGUCGCUUAUUUCACCACAGACUUCUGGGAAAGCCUUGUGCCUCCUAUUUUGGACUGUCCUAAUCGUAUUCCUGCCAGUUUGGCUGAUAACUAACUGUAUCUAUCACCCUGAAGAUUUGGGACAUACAGCAUUUGUGGAAAUUCCAAACACUCCACAACAGGACAAUAUCAAUAACACACAUGAUAGACACAAGAGAAAUGAGAACUCAGAGGGUUUUACAGACAAAAUGCUAUUAUUAAAGUUUAAAUAUGCCUAUGCCCAGAAAUCUGGAUAUGAAAAAUGUUGGAUAUGUAGUAAACUCCAUCCUAGCACUACUAGGAUUCCCCUAAUGGCAGUACCUCUAAAUUUCACCCCCUCCUUAAUAACACACCUCCUCUCGUUCUUACAAAUAUUGCGAGUAUACUUUCAAAUGAUACCCUACUUUUCAAAUCAUGAGUAGAAGUUAUUUCCCAGACUAGUGUUUUAGGUUAGGGGUCUCCACAAAAGGGGCUGAAGUUUGCCAACAAGCUAAAAUUAAUUUUUCAAUUACUUCAAUUGAAAGCCCUUAUUUUCACACUUCAAAACCUGCCCUAAACACCACACUUUCUUAACUCCAGCUCCCCCACCGCGACCUCCCCAGUGGGACAGUUAUUGAGGAGUUUAACCCUUUCUAGUUUUUCUGACGAAAUGAUGGCAGUAUUCAACAGGUGACCCCUAGCUUUAGGGAACAAUAUUUAUAUCUGUUGUGGGAAAACAUGCCAUCCAUGGAUUCCCAUAGAUCCCCAGGGAUGGUGUUACCUUGCAUCACUAAUCCCUAUAAUGGGUGUGUUAGGGGAUGAUAAGGGAAGACACAUAUUAGAGGCCAGCAUGCACCCCAGAUAUCCCCUUAAGUAUCGUGGAAAACUGGAUUUGUUCCAGGAGAAAGAUAUGGCUUGGGCAUGGUUUCCCUCAUGGAGUGGGUGGGGGAUAGACUAAUGAAGAGGUUGAAUAAAUACACUGGAAUUAUUGAUGAAAUAAUGGAAAAGAACUCUGAUGAUAUUACUAAAUUAAAUAUAGAAACUAGAGCAAUUAGGAAGCAAUUAGAGUUACACAAGUUAGCCAUAGAAAGCAUGAGUGCCGCCUUAACUGGAUUAUGUGAAAAUACUGAAGAUUAUGAGUGUUGUACCUGGUUUCAUAACACAAGUAUUGAGGUACCAGAUUAUUAUGAUGUAAUUGCACAACACCGAAAGGAAGUAAACAAAUUACAAGAUGAAGCUAGGAAUAUUGCCAAAACCUGGGAUCCUUUUGCAAACUUAAGUUUUGGAGCAGGAAUGCUGACAUGGUUAAAGAGUGCGGCCCUGGCCAUCUUUAUGAUUAUUCUUUUUGUUUUACUCUUAUAUGCUUGCUAUAGACUUAUAAUGUGCAUAGUUGUUAAAAUUUCCCCGAACAUCCGACCCAGCAGCUGCGAAUAGAAUUUAUCUGAAUAUGUAUCAUGAUAAAAGAAUGAUGGAGGAGAACCACAUAAUUUAGAAUUAUUUGGGUUCUAAUAGGGGAUUAGAGGGAUGUCAAGGGUUAAUAACAGUAACACAUUGAUUGCAUAAAUGUUGCUGUGUAUGUAAGAUUGUCAUGUGUAGGUCUUGUGAUGUCUAUAUAUAGUAAUGGCCAGUUUCAAGCGGAUGACACCCAUCACCAGUCUUAGAUCACAGGUGUUUAAGUUAAGCAACAAGUAACGGCAGCUUUGUAUUAUCCAAUUAUAUUCUAGCAGCAACGCCCGAAGGGGCGCCCGCCCAGUAACAGUGUAUUAGUCAAUGAUACUAAGACAAGUAUUUCCUUUGUAUUUCUAUAUGUUUUUGUAUGACUUAUAAAAGGAACUGUUCGCGCCAUAUUACAACAGAGUGAUCCUAACCUACUUCUGUGUCCAUCUCGUUACUGCAAGGGUUAAGAUCAUUCUCUCGGUACCGAAAGGGGUCAUCGAACCAAGG